AGUGGAAUUGCUGAGUUGUAUGAUGAACUUAUGUACAACUUUUUAAGAAACUGCCAAACUGUCUUCCAAAGUGGCUGUACCAUUUUACAUUCCCACCAGCAAU
rnacentral:pre_miRNA from 1 species